rnacentral:misc_RNA from 1 species
UUGAAUAAACCUGAUGGGUUGUUGCUGGUUCUUUUAGAACAAUAAGUGCACGCCUGUCACUUUUAUAUCUCCACCUGUGCACUCUUUGUAGACUUGAAUAGUUUUCUGAAUACCUAGUAUUCAGGUUUGAAGAUUGACUUUUCUGGUCUCUCUUUACAUUUUCAGGCCUAUGUUUCUUUAUAUACCCCAAUUUAUGUUAUAGAAUGUAAUCAAUGGGCUAUUGUGCCUAUAAACUUAUA